rnacentral:rRNA from 1 species
CCUACGGGAGGCUGCAGUGGGGAAUAUUGGGCAAUGGGCGAAAGCCUGACCCAGCAACGCCGCGUGAAGGAAGAAGGCUUUCGGGUUGUAAACUUCUUUUGACAGGGAAGAGCAGAAGACGGUACCUGUCGAAUAAGCCACGGCUAACUACGUGCCAGCAGCCGCGGUAAUACGUAGGUGGCAAGCGUUAUCCGGAUUUACUGGGUGUAAAGGGGGCGCAGACGGCGAUGCAAGCCAGGAGUGAAAGCCCGGGGCCCAACCCCGGGACUGCUCUUGGAACUGCGUGGCUGGAGUGCAGGAGGGGCAGGCGGAAUUCCUGGUGUAGCGGUGAAAUGCGUAGAUAUCACGCAGAACCCCGAUUGCGAAGGCAGCAUGCCGGCUUCCGACUGACGCUGAAGCACGAAAGCGUGGGGAUCGAACAGGAUUAGAUACCCUUGUAGUC